GUAGAGCGCACCCCUGAUAAGGGUGAGGUCCCUGGUUCAAGUCCAGGAUAGCCCA
rnacentral:tRNA from 1 species